rnacentral:rRNA from 1 species
UACGUAGGGGGCAAGCGUUGUCCGGAAUUAUUGGGCGUAAAGAGCGUGUAGGCGGCCAGAUAAGUCCGCUGUGAAAUCUCGAGGCUCAACUUCGAGCUGUCGGUGGAAACUAUCUGGCUAGAGUCCGGAAGAGGAGAAUGGAAUUCCUGGUGUAGCGGUGAAAUGCGCAGAUAUCAGGAAGAACACCCGUGGCGAAGGCGGUUCUCUGGGACGUGACUGACGCUGAGACGCGAAAGCGUGGGGAGCAAACAGG